CCUACGGGUGGCAGCAGUGAGGAAUAUUGGUCAAUGGGCAAGAGCCUGAACCAGCCAAGUCGCGUGAGGGAGUACUGCCCUAUGGGUUGUAAACCUCUUUUGUCGGGGAGCAAAAGCCGGACGUGUCCGGCUGUGAGAGUACCCGAAGAAAAAGCAUCGGCUAACUUCGUGCCAGCAGCCGGUGUAAUACGGAUGAUGCGAGCGUUAUCCGGAUUUUUUGGGUUUAAAGGGUGCGCAGGCGGAUUUUUAAGUCAGCGGUCAUAGCGUGGGGCUCAACCCCAUCCAGCCGUUGAAACUGGGGAUCUAGAGUGUGCGAGAGGUAUGCGGAAUGCGUGGUGUAGCGGUGAAAUGCAUAGAUAUCACGCAGAACCCUGAUUGCGAAGGCAGCAUACCGGUGCACAACUGACGCUCAGGCACGAAAGCGUGGGUAUCGAACAGGAUUAGAUACCCUUGUAGUC
rnacentral:rRNA from 1 species